UUGCAUGUGGGGCCGAGGAGCUUGGCCCUUAUUCUGAGUGGUGAGGCCCUGGGGAGGCUAGAGGCUGGGAGAUGACAAGACUGCUUCUAGAAAAGUCCAUGCAUGGUACAGUCCAUCAGCUCAGUAAACAGUUUGGCUUUCUAUGGGCCUGGACCCUUUUACAAGUUAUACAAGGGGUCAAAUAUCCUGGAGUGACAGAGGCAUUGAGGACAUGACCCCUGUGAGGUGGGUUGGUCUCUUUCCUCUUCUGCCCUGAGGACCCAUUGGCAGACCCUCUUCACUGAUGACACCAAAUUUAUGCCUGGGCGUAUUAUUUUU
rnacentral:lncRNA from 1 species